rnacentral:rRNA from 1 species
GAGGGGGAUAACGACUGGAAACGGUCGCUAAUACCCCAUAUGCCGCGAGGUGAACUCAGUUUCGCCUGAGGAUGAGCUCGCGUCUGAUUAGCUAGUUGGUGGGGUAAAGGCCUACCAAGGCAUCGAUCAGUAGCUGGUCUGAGAGGAUGAUCAGCCACACUGGGACUGAGACACGGCCCAGACUCCUACGGGAGGCAGCAGUGGGGAAUUUUCCGCAAUGGGCGAAAGCCUGACGGAGCAACGCCGCGUGAGGGAUGAAGGCCUCUGGGUUGUAAACCUCUUUUAUCAAGGAAGAAGAUCUGACGGUACUUGAUGAAUAAGCCACGGCUAAUUCCGUG